GACUCUAUGGCCUAAUGGAUAAGGUAUUGGUUUAUGGAACUAGAGACUUGAGACUAGAGAUUUUGGGUUCGAUCCCCAGUGGAGUCG
rnacentral:tRNA from 1 species